AUAAGGUGAAUUAGUUGGAUAUUUUGAAGAAAAAAUAAUUUUGUACAAAGCAUAUCAAGCACAAACUUGUUGUGGCUCCAACGAUCUUUUGAAGAAAAGACUAUGUGGAUGAUUGGUUGGGCUGUAACUGUAGAAUUUUUGUUGUAUAGAUUUUGUUGUAGUUGUGUUAGCUGUACCCGUAACUUUUAUUGCUGUACAAUUAUUGCUGUAAGUUUUUAACUUUAA
rnacentral:sRNA from 1 species